CGCAUCCGGCGCCCGCAUUGGGCGACGCGGGAAGGUGACGUCGGGAGGCCCCGGGAGCCCGGCCGGAAGGCGGAGGUAUCUGUGUGCCGCUUGACCGCUUCCCCCGGAGGCGCUGAGGCGCUGAAUUUGAGUUCCUGUCAAGGAAAAGGGCGGCAGAUAAAAAUAGAAAGCAAAACAGGGAACGUACUUUUUGCUAGAGUCCUUAUGUUUUUAUUGUAAUUAUUUAUGUAUGUUAUUACUAUUUAUUAUAUACAGCUCUUCAUCUGGAGGCCUCGGGGCGGUUCGCAGCCUAUAAAGUCUAUCCAUAUUCAAUUCUUAUUAUUUUAAAAAUUGUUUUCCUCCUGUGUUUUGAGCUUGUUUUUCUCUGUAAGCUCCCUCGAGCUCGUCAGGGAAGCCCGCUUGCCCCCUCACUGCGCAGGCGCCGCCGUGACCUGGCCCCGUUCCCCACCCCAUCGCAGUCCCGCAGUGGGCUGCAGCCCCCGUGCAAGGCGGGCUCCUGCGCAGGCCUCUCCCUUCUUCCAAGAUGGGCUGCUGGCUGGUUCAUGGCCUGGUCAUGGACGCUGUGGGGCCCCGCCAGGAGUUUUUCUGCUUGGCAAACUGGUGAGAGCAGUACCAACUUGGCAGGAGUGUCCAGCUCUUCUGCCCCGCAUGCCGCUGGCACCCGAAGCUCAUCAGGUGUCCAUCUCCUCGUCCCACUUGGCGGCGUCAGGCAGCUUCAUCUUUUGCCACAUGAAAUCGAGGAACAUGGAGGCCUGCAGUAACCGGCCCAGCCUCUGGAAGUGCCGUGUAUGGUAGGAGAGACUCCACAGCUGCUUUGAUCCCUUCGUAUUGCAAGAGGCUCUCUGGCGUCUCAUGCUUGAGGAGGGUUUCCACCACUGCCUGAGCCUCGAGGUAGUUCCGCGAGUUUGUGUUCCACGUGAUGGAAAUCUUCAGCACAGCCUCUGGAAGAAGGGGUUUGGGGAAGACAUGUCAGGAAGGAGUGCAAGUUGCAGGCAGCGUGGCCACCUUGAACCAACACACCUCUCUUGCGAAGCGUGGCCAGGUCUGGGCACACAUCUGACCUGCGCCUUUCUUCAAGGCAGGGGAGAAGUUGAAACACCCUCCCCACCCUAGUAGAAAAGCAGCCUGCGGUGUUGGUGGGAGGUUUUGAAUCAGAAAAAUGCCAGGAGGGCGCAGGGUCAAGCAACCUCUCCUCUCACCCGUCUUUCUUCUUAAACUCGCAACUUUCCCAUGGCUGUUGUUCAAAAGAACAAAAAAAGACUUUGCGAAAGGGCACCUGCUGGGUAAUUAAGUUCAGUACACACACACACCUUUAGAGGUCGUCCCUGCAGCAUACCAACUAACCUUUCUGGUCUUUCCGAAGCUUCAGGAGGUUCUUUUCCAAGUCGUUAUUAGUUAUUUUUAAUGAACUCCAUUUGCAUGUAGGAACUCCUAUGACUACAAUUAAUGAUGGGAGAGGUGACUGAGUUUAUUCCAGACUACAUGGCUUGCAGGAAUGGGUUUUAUAAUAUUUAUAAAAGUACAACAACAACAACAAUAUGCAUUAUAAUCAUUGCUCUAGUAUUACAGAGGUGGCGUAGCUGAUUUGAGGCUGUGUACACACCAUACAUUAAAAGCAUUAUUGCUUCUCCCCUGUAAGAAUCCUGGGAACUGUAGAUUACCCUUCUACCGCCUAGCUACAAUUUGUAGCACCCUUUACAAACUGUAGUUCCCAGUACUUCUUUGGGAGAAAUGUGCUUUUAAUGCCUGUUUUUGCUGCAGCUCAGCUACCCCUCUGGAAGCUCAAUCCCACACAAAGCUGUGACGGCCACCAACUUGGAUGGUUUUAUGCAGGAGAAGGCUAUCAAUGGCCACUAGGCACAAUGGCUAUGCUCUACCUCCACAGUCAGUGGCAGUAAUGUUUGUGAAUAGUAGUUGAUGGAAAGUAUAGGAAUACAGAAUGCUCUUGUUUCCCCAGCCUCUGGUUAGGCCUUGUGAGAACAGGAUGCUGGACUAGACAGGCCAAUGUGGCCUCAUCCAGCAGGCACUUCUUAUGUCCUCACGUGGUUCAAGGGUAGAGAUUGUGAGAAGGCAUCUUCCAAAGCAAUCCCACCCCGCAAAUAGCUUUGGAGCCUUCUUGCCUCUAGCCUAGCCCUCACCCCUUUUCCUGUUCCCGCUGGAGUCUUCUUUUGUUUUGUUUUUAUAAUACUUUUUAUUGAAUUUUCCCACAAACAAAAUAAAACAGUCUUAACAAUCA